GUAAUAACAUUCCCUUUUGUGAAUGCCUGCCCACGCCCAAUCAUAAUACUAGUACAAUUUAUUAAUAAUAAUUUAACCGUAAAUAAAAUGACCAACAUGAUGACCUUUCACCUGACAACGAUUCCUCACUUCACACGUGCAUUUUUUAAUUGCUAGAGGUUGUUUUCAACACCGUGGCAGCUGGUCUUGCAUACAUGAACGAGGAGAAGAAAGAAGGCCUGAGGCAUCUCAGCACGACGCUACAGGUUUAUCUCAGUGAGGAGAACCACGAUUUGUCUCUGUUUCCGCCUGGCCUGGACCCCAUCAGCCUCCUCGCCAGAACUCUACAGCUGCAUCACCUCUCAGAAACGCCUACUCAAUUCCUCAUCCUGACCAGACCGUAACCCUGCAAUACACACCACAGAGGCAUUGUGCUGCAUCUCCGACAAUCACCUCCUUCCCACUGCAGGGAAAGAUAGAAAUGGGAGAGAGACAAACAGUAAUUCAUGUGCAAGACAGGCUUCCGAGACUCCUGGGAUUGGUGCACAAGGCUUCAAGGCAACAUGAAUUCAGAAUUUACUUUCUGAAUAAAUGUGCCAGGUCUUAUUGUGCAUGAAUUUUUGUUGCUAUGGCUAGCUUACCUUGCCAUAUAAAUGCCUUGUGUUUUUUAGAUACACAUGAUAGGCUUAUUUAUUGGGAACAAUGUUUCGAGAUUAUUCAAUUUGCUAGAUUAACUUCAAGUAGCAGUUGGACUUGCAUUUAACUCAUAUAAUUUAUUUCUGUUUUUAUUCAGGAUUUUGCAGUGCAUUUUAAAUGACUAUUAUAGAAAAUAAAAACGUAAAUAGCAUACGUCUUAUCAACUAAUACUGCUACUAUUAUUAUUACGUUGUAGUUUAUUUACUGUAUCUUUCACCCUGGUGUCUAAACAUUGGCAGUGGCUUGAAAACACAUGGAGGUUUGUCAUAUUACGGCAA